CCGUCCCUCUCGCCAGGGGAUACAGCUGCCUCUGCUAUUGCAAACUCCUUCUCCAGCCUGAUAAAAGCCAGAGAUUCCUGCGUCAGGGAGGAGAGCAUCUUUUUAUGUCCUGUGUUGAUUGUUGUAACCGAUCCUUCCCGAGGCGCACUCCCAGGCGGAAGGGCUUUUGAGACUGUGUCCCACCAAAGAUGAGGCUGAAAUCUGGGACACCUCCAUCCUCAGGCCAGACGAAUCGGAAACACUGAAGCAAUGUCACUAGAACCAGGAAGAGCUCCAUACGUGCUAACCCCUCCCCCAGACACACACGAGAUCCUGGGGAACACACACACGGCUAUCAAUGAGAACAACAUUUCACUCAUACCUUCAUAUGCAUGCAGCCUGGCAUUUUAUGUCAACAUAUUCUCCUGUCUCUGUACAACAUACUAUCACUUAUAGCACAGAGAGUUCAGUGAGGAUCAUGUACACUCUAAAAAAAAAAGGUUCCAUCUAGAACCUAAAAGGAUUCUUUGGCUGUCCCCAACACCUUUGAAGAACACUUUUGGGAUCAGCGUAGAACCCUUUCCACAGAGAGUUCUACCUGGAACCCAAAAGGGUUCUACCUGGGAACAGCCGAAAGAACCAUUUUGGAAUCCUUUUUUUUUAGUAAACAUGGAGUGGCACAGGGCUUAGACUGUACCAUGGCCCACGGUCCGAAAGCUUCUUUGGUCAACUCCUCUAAGCUCUGGAUGAGGGUGAGGAUGACCGGGUCGUCGUAUUCGAACCUCUCUCCGAAAAUCAGCGAGCAGAUGAUGUUAGACGCAGUCAGAUGGAACAGGUGCUGAGGGUCCGUCGAACCGCCUACCAGGACACAGCAACGGUCACCACGCCAGGCAAUACACACAGACAAGUUUCAGAGUUCCAGAGUGCUGUGCAGUAUGUGGAGGCCAGUGCCAAUGCCAGUCAGGUGUCUGGGUACCUUUGCUGCCCCCUGACAUGGGAGCGGUUGAAGGAUAGUCAUCUCGUCAAUCAGGAAGUGAGCCAGCUCAAGAGACCUCAACUGUCAUCCCCUGAGCUAAAUCUGUGCAGCAUGUGGAGGCCAGGGCCAAGGUUGUCAGGUGUCUGUGUACCUUUCCUGGAAGCGGCUGAGGGAUAGUCUCGAUCAGGAACUGAGAAAGUCAAAGAGGCCUCGACUGAAGCAGCAGCGAGAGGCCUGCUGGUAUGUCAGAUAAGGUGUUUGCCAGCAAGGGGCGCAAGAGAGCAUAUAGCCAGAGUGAAGAAGGAUGAGACCCCAGAUCGCAAGAAAGGCGAGGGACCAUAGUCACUGAUAUUCACCCAUUCAUAUGCACACAUCAGGGUGGGGGUCAAUUCCAUUCAAUUCAAUUCAGUCAAAUUAGAAAGUAAGCUGAAAUCCCAGUUUCCAUUAAAACAAUUUCUUAAGCAAGGCAUUGAGGAGUAUUGGAAUGGGAAGUAGAAAGUCAGUUUAUUUCCUAAAUUGAGAGAAAUUAAAAGGAAUUGACUCCAACCCUGGCACACGUAUACAAAGGCACACACAUACACAAGUAAAUAUUUUUGUAAUAAAUAUUUUAUUAGCAAACAAUCAGUCAGUGAUGUGUUUUUAUUCACCAGUUAUAUUUGAGUUAAAGUAAACAUCUGUCAGUAAAGACUGCACUGUGCGUCAAACUGCCCAUGCCCUGAUAGGAAUAGAGAGGAUGGUACAAUACUACCUCUGAAUGUAGUGACUACAUGUGAAAAACAGAGAAAUGUAGCUUUCAUUUAAAUCAAAAAGCAAAUAUAUCACACAAAAAAAGAGAUAAUGAAAUGAUCCUCAUCCAUUCAAAUGGAUUGUUAAAGGCUCUUUGACAUUACAUUUCAGACACAAGUCAGCAGGUUGCAGUGUCAAAUGAAAACGAAAGACAACAACAAAAAAUAACUACAGUAUGUUUAUAGUACCUUUACAUUUUUAUUCUCUCCCUUAUAUUAAUUUGCUUAACUAGUUCAUCAGGUUUGGAAAAAGAAAACUGCGACCUGCCAUUGCAACACUACUCUAUGUUGCACACAUAUUAUAUAGUUAUUUUGCAAUUGUUUGCAAUUGUUUACAAUCUGUUACUUAACUUGGAACAAAAUGUCGGUUGAAGGUUAACAUAGGCAAUACUUUUCAGCUGUUAAAUAUAUUGGCAUGAUGCUCUACUCAACAGUGUUGUUGUUUACAUUUUAAUAUUCAGCAGACUCUCUUUUGUUAAGUGCCUUGCUCAAGCGUUCAUCAACAGAUAUUUCACCUAGUCGGCUCGGGGAUUCGAAACAGCAAUCUUUCGGUAACAGGUGUUGUGCCGAAAAUCUCCCCCCUGUCAGAAUCCCCCCCCCCAUUUCACUGAUCUUAGUAGCAGAAAGCAUUUUUUAUUUGUGUCCUUCAAGGCAGCUGUCAAUGAUCACGUUAGGCUGCAUUUCAUUUGAUUUUUGAUGGUGGUUUGAUCGCGGGGGAGGCACUAGUAAUGUCUGCAGUUUUCAGUUUGG
ensembl:lncRNA